CGAAAGUCAUACUAUAUUAUUCCUACUUAUAUAACCUAAACUUCAGGUGAAGAUGCCUGAUUUAAUUUGAAAGACAAGAAGACCCUAUAGAGUUUUAGUAACAUGAACUCCCCCAUAUUUUCUAUACUUUGAUUGGGGCGAUCAAGGAUUUUAAAUAACAUCCUUCACCAAUGAGAACUUACUUCAUAUCUUAACAAUCCUUUCCAAGAAUUAAUAAUAAACUACCUUAGGGAUAACAGGCUUAUCUUUCUAAAGAGUUCAAAUUAACAGAAAGGUUUGGCACCUCGAUGUUGGCUUAGAGUAACCUAAUAAAGCAAAAAUUAUUUCGGUUAGUUUGUUCAACUAUUAAUCCUCU
rnacentral:rRNA from 1 species